rnacentral:lncRNA from 12 species
GAACAAUAGAGGGAAAACCAUUUGAUUAAGUAACAGUUCCAAUUUGUAAGUCUUAGUGUAUCUGCAUCUGUGAUGUGAUGCUACGCUGAAAACAUAACUCAACUAAUCGAAAUGAGGUUUUUCAGGUUUUCACUAUUUUAUUUUUGCCUCUUGGUGUAGUAAACUCUCAACCACUAAGGAAAGGAAAGGAAAGGAAAGGAAAGGAAAGGAAAGGAAAGGAAAGGAAAGGAAAGGAAAGGAAAGGAAAGGAAAGGAAAGGAAAGGAAAGGAAAGGAAAAAGGAAAGGAGUUUCUCAUUAUGAUCUGAGACAUUAAUUCUGAUUUUAGAGGUUUUGGAUCAUUUCCUCCAGGUAUUAAUCAGCUCUGGCCAUAUGGUGAGGGUGAGGUAAUUCGUUAUUACUUUACAAUGAAUGCCCUUAAUUACAUCUUCAGUAGUAAUAUUAGUCCUUCUGUUUAUUUGAGUUUCUAAGAGCUGCAGGCAACGUGAUCUGAAUUGCAUGGAGGAUGAGCUCCAGCUGACUGUGUAAACUCACAUGAGGAAUCUAAUCUGAGAAGACAAGAGCAGGUGGGGGUGACGAGGAGGCAGCCCAUUAGCCUGCCCAACUGGCUCCUCUUUCACCUCCAAUUUGCUGCUGGCGUUUUAUACUUAGCUGUGACCUCGCUCACAGUCAUGCCAACCUGGUGGUCAGGAGAGAGGGGCACCCAUCCUGCUUCUGGACCCUCCAGCUGCCCCGGGGGCACAGAGUAUCUUGUGGAAAACUCACUAAAAGGACACAGGGUUUUUGAAGAAGAAGAAGAAGAAGAAGAAGAAGAAGAAGAAGAAGAAGAAGAAGAAGAAGAAGAAAAAGAAGAAGAAGGGAAGAGAAAAGAAAAGAAAAAAGAAAAAGAAAGAAAGAAAGAAAGAAGAAAAAGAAAGAAAGAAAGAAAGAAAGAAGAAAGAAAGAAAGAAAGAAAGAAAGAAAGAAAGAAAGAAAGAAAGAAAGAAAGAAAGAAAGAAAGGAGGAAAGAAGAGGAGAAGGAAGAGGAGAAGAAGAGGAGGAAGAAGAAGAAAGGAGGAGGGGGGGAGGAGGAGGAGGAGGAGGAGGAGGAGGAGGAGAAGAAGAAGAAGAAGAAGAAGAAGAAGAAGAAGAAGAAGAAGAAGAAGAAGAAGAAGAAGAAGAAGAAGAAGAAGAAGAAGAAGAAGAAAGAAGACGACGACGACUAAGCUGCUGUGCAUGAGGAUUUUUGACUGGAUUUUCCCUCAACGUGCAACGUACAACAGUACAACAGUGGUGUUUCCGGAGGAAACGUGAGACCAAGUGAGCCAAACUCAGGAAAGUUUGGCUUCCAAACUUCCACUUGCCCCCUUCCUACCUACAUCUUUUGCCUUUCUCGUAUUCUCUACCACUCAGGAGUCGGAUGUGCGAUGGAUACAAUGAUGUAUCUUAGUAUUUUUUUUUUACUCGUCACGAUCUUGGGACAUUUGCUUUUUCAAGAGACACGUGUGCCACAUCCAGCUCUGCUCCAGCUGGAUACUGAGCUCUGGGAGCAGGUGUCAGAACACAGUGUGGGCUCUGAACCCGAGCCGGCCACUGAUGAGUUCUGGUGGGCUGAGUCAUCUCAUGGGUUGGAGCGCCGGGAAACAGGAGUUACAGGCUAAGCCUGGGAUGACAUCAUCACCCCCCAGCUCAUACGAGCAAGAGUCUGAAUUGAUUUUUAAACUAUGACAAUGAAUUAAUUCAAUGGAUUUUACGUUUUACUUCAUGCCCAAUUGUUUUUAUUUGAAAAUAUCUGGUAGUGUUUAAAUCAAAUCUGGCAAAUAAAACACCCUGAAACGCAAUGCCUUUUACCA